GGCGCCGUGGCUUAGUUGGUUAAAGUGCCUGUCUAGUAAACAGGAGAUCACGAGUUCGAGUCUCGUCGGUCUCU